GGGGGCUAGUUUAAUAAAAUUGUUGAUUUCGACUCAACCGAUCCUGCCACUACCAGGGCCCCUAAU
rnacentral:tRNA from 1 species